UACAAUACUUUGAUUGUUCAUCUUAUUCAAAUUUUUUUUGUGAUUAAUAUUUUUAUUGUUACUAAAUGAUAAAAUAUGGAUAGUACUUUAUGGGUGACUAAUUUUUUUAUGUUUUUUAUAAAUUUUCAAAUAAAACGAAUGGUUAAACAUUAGACACGAAAAAAC
rnacentral:pre_miRNA from 1 species